rnacentral:rRNA from 1 species
UACGGGGGGGGUAAGCGUUGUUCGGAAUUACUGGGCGUAAAGCGUGCGUAGGCGGUUUGUUAAGUCUGUCGUGAAAGCCCCGGGCUCAACCUGGGAAUGGCGAUGGAUACUGGCGAGCUAGAGUACGGUAGAGGAGAGUGGAAUUCCUGGUGUAGCGGUGAAAUGCGCAGAUAUCAGGAAGAACACCCGUGGCGAAGGCGGCUCUCUGGGACGGUACUGACGCUGAGACGCGAAAGCGUGGGGAGCGAACAGG